CACACCUGCAAUCUGACCCCUGACUGUGAAGCCACCGAAAGGAGACUCAUGCAGGUGAAUCCCUGGGUGAUGCUCUUCUGUCUGGACAUCUGGUAGCUGCUGAAAACAAUAGCUAUCAACUCAAAGAGUUUUAUCCAAAACAACUGAUGUAGAAGCUGCAGUUUGCCUCCACCUCUGAAGAAGCACAAUACACCUUUCUGGGUUACCAAUGGGAUACUUCCCAACAGCUUUGUCAUCACAUACAAUAUUCUCAAACAAGAUCUUAAUGGCAUCUACUUUCUCCAGGAACACAGCCCCUGACCUGUGUGUGUUUGCGUAGAGAAGGCAUGCUAUGUACCCCCUAGGAUAUCAAGAUUCCUGUAGCAGAUUGAGCUCUGGCAGUUGAUCUCAGUGGCUUGAUAGAGUGUCAUUAUAAAAACGCACCUGGAAGAUUCUGUGGAAAAGACAACCUCAGAAGACCAAGAGGCUGACUUUGCAAGAGAGAGUCCGUUUACCACUUAGAACCGUGAACACCACCCCCGCCCUCAUUUAUCUCCAGACUUGAACUAGUGGUUAAAUCCCAACAUGUCCCAGAGAAGUCAAAAGCAUUGUAAAAUCUGGGAAUCUGCCCACCACUCAAGCCUGGGAAAGCUGGCAGAGGAUGCACGUGUUUUACUCACCUGAGUGUUUACAAUGCUCGUGAGGUGCCUCCCUGAUAUUUUUAUAGCAGAAUGGAGAAACACAACCAAGGAGAUACACCUAAGUAACAACAGCAAUGAUGUCAAAAAGAGUGCCUGAAUACUUAGGGUGGAGGUCCUGGACAUGCAAACCCAAGCUUCCUCUUUGCUGUGGCCAGGAAUCUGCAGUGAUUGAGAGCACAGACUGUAUCUAAAAUUCCACCUUUCAAAGUUCAGCAUAUUACUUUUUUUUUUCUUACACCUAUAAGUACAGAGGAAUGAAGAAGGAAUAAACAGACCUUCUGGAUAAUUGCAUCAGCCUUCCCCACUAUUCCAAUGCCAUGCUAACAUUUCAAGUAAUGUCCCUUUUGUCUUGCUGAGAAAAAAUCAUUUCAUGAUUUAUUACACUGGAUUAAAGGCUAUGCACACUCUGGAGUUGGAACAUGACUGAAGGGCAAGCAAGCAUAAAGGAUAUCAGAAACAGUUGAUGUGUUUAAAUUUUUCUGAAUUUCUCAAGUAAACUUUUUAGAAAGUAGUCUGAAGAUAAAAUGGUUAUAUAAGUUACUUAAACUGUAGAUGAUGGCACCUUUAUCCCUAUAUAAUAAAAUUAAGAUUUGUAGGUUAAACCUUGGAUAUUCCCAUCUGAGCAUCUGUACCAAACAGAAAAGACCUGUGUGAGUUCCUGAGAACCAGUGCUCAUUCCAGAAGAGACAGGUUUCUCUCCAGGAAGAAAUGUCUGAAAUUCAGUGAAUUAAAAUCCUCAUUGAGUCUUC
ensembl:lncRNA LINC00616 long intergenic non-protein coding RNA 616